rnacentral:rRNA from 1 species
AUCCCAAUCACGAAGAGGUUUCAGCGGGUUACCCACUCCUAGAACGGGGAGGUAGUGACGAAAAAUAACAAUACCGGACUCAAUGAGGCUCGGUAAUUGAAAUGAGUACAGUUUAAAACCCUUAACGAGGAUCUAUUGGAGGGCAAGUCUGGUGCCAGCAGCCGCGGUAAUUCCAGCUCCAAUAGCGUAUAUUAAAGUUGUUGCAGUUAAAAAGCUCGUAGUUGGAUCUCGGGUACUAGCAUGUGGUACGCUUAACUGCUAUUACUACAUGUCUGGUCCUAAUCAAUCGGUUGGCCGUUGGUGCCCUUUAUUGGGUGUUUUCGGUAGCCGGUACGUUUACUUUGAGAAAAUUAGAGUGCUUAAAGCAGGCUAUACGCCUGAAUAAUGUUGCAUGGAAUAAUAGAAUAGGACCUCGGUUCUAUUUUGUUGGUUUUGUAGAGCAUUGAGGUAAUGAUUAAUAGGGACAGACGGGGGCAUUCGUAUUGCGGUGUUAGAGGUGAAAUUCUUGGAUCGCCGCAAGACGAACAACUGCGAAAGCAUUUGCCAAGAAUGUUUUCAUUAAUCAAGAACGAAAGUUGGAGGUUCGAAGACGAUUAGAUACCGUCCUAGUUCCAACCAUAAACGAUGCCAACUAGCAAUUAGCUGCUGUUAAUUAAACGACACAGCUAGCGGCUUCCGGGAAACCAAAGUUUUUGGGUUCCGGGGGAAGUAUGGUUGCAAAGCUGAAACUUAAAGGAAUUGACGGAAGGGCACCACCAGGAGUGGAGCCUGCGGCUUAAUUUGACCCAACACGGGAAAUCUCACCCGGCCCGGACACUAAGGAUUGACAGAUUGAGAGCUCUUUCUUGAUUCGGUGGGUGGUGGUGCAUGGCCGUUCUUAGUUGGUGGAGCGAUUUGUCUGGUUAAUUCCGAUAACGAACGAGACUCUAGCCUGCUAAAUAGUACGCCGAUCUCUUGUCGGCGCGUACUUCUUAGAGGGACAAGUAGCGGUAAGCUAUACGAAAUUGAGCAAUAACAGGUCUGUGAUGCCCUUAGAUGUUCGGGGCCGCACGCGCGCUACACUGAAGAGAUGAGCGUGUUUUUCCUGCUCCGAAAGGAGUGGGUAACCCGCUGAAACCUCUUCGUGAUUGGGAUCGGGGCUUGAAAUUAUUCUCCGUGAACGAGGAAUUCCCAGUAAGCGCGAGUCAUAAGCUCGCGUUGAUUACGUCCCUGCCCUUUGUACACACCGCCCGUCGCUACUACCGAUUGAAUGGUUUAGUGAGAUCUUCGGAUUGGUCCGGAAGUGACCGCAAGGUUGCCUCUAGGUUCUGAGAAGAUGAUCAAACUUGA